UUCCCUUUCCCCUUCCCCUUCCCCUUCCCGUGUAGUCAAAGAGCCCCUGCCUCUGCUCGUGGGCUCCUCUACUCGUUUAUUUUCCAAGAAGUUAAUGAAGGCUUGCUCCUCAGUGGCCCCGCGCCCACACCGGGAUUUCCAUAGGGCUUGUUCACAGACUCUUUCGAAGCCGGUGGUGAAUACUCACACACACUGCUGAGAAGGAAUUGUUCUGCGAGCUCUGCCCAUCUUCCAAUCAAUGCCUGCCCAGAACAACAGAAAGGGCCUCAGAUGUAUUGGUUUCCACAGAACCAUUGUUAGGCUUUGUGAAGCAUUUCUGAACCUAAUAAAUAACGUCAAAAG
rnacentral:lncRNA from 1 species